rnacentral:rRNA from 1 species
AUUGAACGCUGGCGGCAUGCCUUACACAUGCAAGUCGAACGGCAGCGCGGGCUUCGGCCUGGCGGCGAGUGGCGGACGGGUGAGUAAUGCAUCGGAACGUGCCCAGGAGUGGGGGAUAACGUAGCGAAAGUUACGCUAAUACCGCAUACGUACUGAGGUAGAAAGCGGGGGAUCGAAAGACCUCGCGCUCAUGGAGCGGCCGAUGUCGGAUUAGCUAGUUGGUGAGGUAAAAGCUCACCAAGGCGACGAUCCGUAGCUGGUCUGAGAGGACGACCAGCCACACUGGGACUGAGACACGGCCCAGACUCCUACGGGAGGCAGCAGUGGGGAAUCUUGGACAAUGGGGGAAACCCUGAUCCAGCAAUGCCGCGUGUGGGAUGAAGGCCCUCGGGUUGUAAACCACUUUUGGCAGGAAAGAAAUCGCCUGUGCUAAUACCAUGGGCGGAUGACGGUACCUGCAGAAUAAGCACCGGCUAACUACGUGCCAGCAGCCGCGGUAAUACGUAGGGUGCGAGCGUUAAUCGGAAUUACUGGGCGUAAAGCGUGCGCAGGCGGUUUUGUAAGACAGAUGUGAAAUCCCCGGGCUUAACCUGGGAACUGCAUUUGUGACUGCAAGACUAGAGUGUGUCAGAGGGAGGUGGAAUUCCGCGUGUAGCAGUGAAAUGCGUAGAGAUGCGGAAGAACACCGAUGGCGAAGGCAGCCUCCUGGGAUAACAC